GGCUGUGUGGUCUAGUGGUAUGAUUCUCGCUUAUGGUGCGAGAAGUCCCAAGUUCAAUUCUCGGCACAGCCC
rnacentral:tRNA from 1 species